GGGUCACCGCACUGAAGACUGUUGGGGUAAGGGAAACCGAAACGGAAAUGGAAACCGCACUGGUGCUGGAAACAACGGUGGGAACGGUAAUGGCAAUGGUAAUCGAGUUGGGAAUGAAGCCGGGCGAAACCAAGGAUGCUUCAGUUGUGGAAGCAAUGAACAUUUCAUGAAAGACUGCCCGAAGAGAAACAACGCUCAAGCUUGAGCAUUUGUGAUUGGAGCAAGGGACGCACGCGAGGACCCUAACAUGGUCACUGGUAAUUAGAAGUGGAUGUGCGUGCGGUCCUACUCAUGCUUAUGGAUGUCAUCUAUGUUAUGUUUAAACAAAGUUGUAAACUUUUAAGACAAUGUUCAUGCUAUCUCGCGAUGUAAACGCUAAACUUAUGUUUUCAAGUUAUGAAAUGUUUAGUAUUU
rnacentral:lncRNA from 1 species